rnacentral:sRNA from 1 species
UACGAGGUCUCCGCGCAUAAGGAGCGCGC